AUUUCUUGCCGUGCUGAUGACUUGUGUCUCACGUCAGAAGAAUUAUUCAGCAAGUGCCAUAUGGUUGUAACUUCCGAACCUGCAUCCAGAAUCAAGGUGUGAGUAGAAGGAAACAGGUGAAUCCGACUGGUACUCCUCAAGCAUUUCGUGUAGGCACCUGCUGUCAGAGCUCCCUUUGGUAUCUUCUUGAAGCUCUUGAUCAUCACAGUUGAGAAAAUCCUUCAGCUCAGCGAAGCCAUCAUGAUCGCCACAGUUGGAGUUGGAGGCUCUGCACUCUCCUUCAUGAUCACCAGAGUGGAUUGUCCCACCCUGCGCAAAUGUCAGAAUUCACUUGAGCUCUCAAAUGCAGAGCUCACAGACCUUCCAAACUGAAUGCACCUGUUCAUGGAUGGAUGUAUAUAUCUUCAGACAAUGGAACAAUGUGCACUUCUAUUUCUAUACCUACAGAUAGUAGCAACAACUAGCAAGCACUAAUGAAACAACUACACUGAAGCUAUCAUCAACUCAUCUACUGGUUAUUGAACUAUAUAGAGCUGUAGCACUCAAGAUGGUCUCUCUAGGUGGUGUUAAAUUUUGCAGGCAUGCAGCUGUGGGUCAGGAUGGUUUAGUGCACAUGCUUGUCUCAAGCUGCUAGUGGAGAAUCUUUGCCCCCUGCUUUGCUUCAAGAAUUCGUCAGAAAUUUGAAGAUGGCAUUUGGCAAAAAAGGGUGUUUCAACUCCUUUUUGAAUCCCUUUUGGAAAAGAUAGAAUGCGGAUUUCCCUCUUUUUGCCACAUCACAGAGAAAAUGGUAGAAAGUAAGAAGGUGCAGAUUUGCGCCCAUGACGUGCAGAAAUGUGCUCCGGUGGGUUCUACAAGGAAAGAAAAAGCUCAGGCAAAGGGAAUGAAAGAAAGAAGCUGAAGCAUCCCUUUCACAAAUCACAAGAUGGUGACCUACAUCAAAUUCACUCAAAGAGAAAAAUGAGGCUAAUCUUAUAUUUUGCAAGAAUUCAAUUUAGAGUUGUACCCAUGGCUUGCAAUCCUGGAACUGCAUGGAGGUAUGCAACUUACCACACCAUAAAAGAUUUCACAAUUCUCAUUUUUCAUUCAAAAAAUUGCAAAAAUGCAAAAACCACAGAGAAGAGAAGGUAGCCAGUAAAAGUAGGACAGAAAGUUGAAAGGGACAUUUGGGCAAAAAGCAUUCAAAAUCCCAAUACCAAAACCUUU